ensembl:lncRNA
CUCGCCUCUUCAACUGCCGCUCUGAUUUCUUACCUAGAUACCAUGGUAGCCUUAACUGGACUCUGCUUAGCCCUGGCUCUCCUUUCAGUCUCCUCGACACACAGCCAGAUGAAGAAGAAUCCUUAAAAAUAGCAUAAAUGCCACCAAAUGACAUUCCACCUAGAUUUGAGCCCACUGCCGAGCGGGGGAGACAGACAGGAGCAGAUGGUGUGGCCGUGGGGCCUGCAAUGGGCCUCACUGAGACCUGAGCUGAGAGAAGGAAACAUCCUGGAGAAGCUGAGACUUCAAGGAGGAGUCGCUUUCCUGGUGAACCCUUGAGGGAGGACCUUCCAGGCAGAGAUUUAGAGACAGACUUCCAACAAGGAAAGCCAGGCCUCUGGCCAAGGACACCCCUGAGCACAGAGCAGAGAGGAGCAGAAACAGGACACUGAAGACAUCCAGGCCGCCCAGACCCACAGACUGCGCCCCGACCCUACCUCCCCUGCAGUUAGUGCAGGAGGAUGGGACAGAGCAAGGUCACCCAUCAGGAUGCUGUCUCUCUAGCGCCCUCUGCCGGGUUCUCAUGAGAAGACCCCCUUGACAGGAGGAGACAAGGGUACCCGUCCAGUGCAUCCCAAGGGAAAGAAGACUAAGACCUAUGGGACAUGCUCAGCAAUAAGGGGAUAAGCAGUGAAUCCUUGAGGGCUGCUCAGGUCUGCAUGAGACAUGCAGAGUCGCAGACCGGAGCCUGAAUCCCAGCUUCCCCAUUAAGUAGUUCCACGAGCUUAGGCCAAUCGCUUCACCUCUCUGGGCUUCAUUUGUCUUACCCAUGAACUAAUCCUUGGUUUGUCCACCUCCUAGAGUCGUUGCAAGGAGCCAGACAGACAGGUGGUGAAGGACAGUGCUGGACAGGUGUGAGACUGCUCUAUGAGGCCAUUCAUCUCAUAAAUAGUUGCUGAGUACCAACGACGUGCCGGGCGCUAUUCCAGUGCCGGGGAUAUGAACGGAUGAGACAAGGCCUUCCUGUGGAGCAAGCAUCCUGGGUGAUCGCAGAGAGAGAAUAAACAAAUACAUAGCGUCGGCAGUAAAAAGCGCUACACGUAGAGAAACAAAACAGAAUAAGAGAUAGGAAGUGAUGCAAAUAGGACUCAAAAUAGGGCACUCAGGGAAGGCCUUAUGAGGAAGUGACCUUUGGGCGAAGAUCUAAAUAAAGCGAGGGAGUGAAGUGUGCAGAUCUCGGAAGGAAGAAUUUUCGGGCAGAGGGGAAGCGAAGGCCAAGGCCCUGAGACGGGAAGAUCCAAGAGAGGCUUUCAAAGCUUACGGUGGAGGAGAAAUGGCUUGUUUGAGAUGAGGAAAGAGGCGGAACAAGGGAAGUAACUUGCCUGAGGUCACAUGGCUUGUCAGUGUCACAGGGCAAGAUUCCAUUCCAGGACUCCCGGAUUCCAGCAUCUCUGCUCCUAACCAGCCAAUCCUUGCUGUCUUCUCCUGCUGGCACGGACUCUGCUAAGAAACAGAAGGUUCAAGAUGGCGACACAGGAAGAUCCUGAACUCACCUCCCCCACAGACACACUGAAUCUACAGCUGCAUAUGGAGCAAUUUCCUCUCAAAAAAACCCUAAAAUCUAGUGGAAAGACUCCUUCGUAUUAGGGAAGUGAGAAAACAAAAAACAAAAAAACAUUGAUGCGAGUAGGAAAGGCUGAGAUAGUCUCACCAUAACCCGCCCUCCCCCCCAGCCACACACAGUGACCCAUAGCCCGAGUGAUCUUAAAACCCAGAGCUUCUCCCCGAGGAACGAAAGGUUUGUACUCCACAUCGGGCACCCCAGCUUUUAAGACCUGCACCUGAGAGAUGCGCCCCCAACACAUCCAGCUUUGAAAAGCAACAGGGCUUGGGCCCAAAAGACCCACAGGGCUGGAGAAACAUCGCUCAAAGGACUCGCUCACCCCGGGGGCCCAGUGCAGAAGCAGCCCUUGGAAAGUGCCCGACUUCCCGUGCUGGAGGUUCAUUCCUAGUUUUCAGGCCUCGGUCUCCAGGGCCCGGAGCUGGUGAGCGCCAUCUUCACCCUCUCCCUAGGCAUUGCUAGAGCCUGCGCCCCCCUCAUUUUUUUUUUUUUUUUUUUUUUUUUGACUCUAGAAGUUUUUCCCCGCAGCGGGCACCAUUUUCCUGCUCUGUCUUGCUAAAGCUGGUGGGCACCGGCUUUUCCUGUCUUUGCUUUUCUCGGCGAUGCCAUAUUUGCGCCCCGCCCCCGCCUCCCCCCAGCCACGCCAUCUUCCGCUCUCCUACUGCGCUCAAAGCGCCAUUGUCUCCUGGAAGGGAGUUUCUACAUGCGUCUGGUGUUCUGGAUUUUACCCGUGGUGACCCAGUUUUGGUGGCUACAGCCCAGGGGAAGUCCCUUGAUCGCCAGGCUCUGAAGGCCAGAGGGGCUUGCUUUCCUGGGUCCCAUGGGACUGUGACAAACGGAGAGACAGUUCUCAGCAGGCGACACCCCCAGGGCACUGCACAGAUAGAGGCUGAAACACCCCCCAUCUUUCUGGGAAAGAGGCCUAUGCGCAUGUCCAGGAGCUUUGGCCUGGGGGAGGCUUCUGGUCUGGCCCCUUCCAGGGACCUAGGGAGUGCUCUCUCAGGGAAUGGAGGGCGUGGACUCAGUCUGCGUUCUCUGCCUGGCUCCAGCUCACUGGUAUCUCAUACAGCUGCCACCCUCAAGGCACAGCAAGAGGCCACAGACCCAGGAACUCAGUCUUUCUGGGAAAGAGGGCUAUUACCUUAUCAUCGCAGCUGCUGCCUGAGGGUCUGGCUUCCAAUCAGCCUGAAUCUAGGUGCUGACUUCAAUCCUCCCCUUUGGGACACUGACCGGUCUUGGCACAC